rnacentral:misc_RNA from 1 species
AACGCACAUUGCGCCCAUUGGUAUUCCUUUGGGCAUGUCUGUUUGAGCGUCAUUACAACCCCUCAGCGCAAGCUGGUAUUGAGUCAAGCAGCUCAGAAACCUUCCGGUUUACUUGGGUUCUUGCUUUAAAGUUGUACGCUCUGCUGGCUGCUUGUCUGACCAAAAACAUAGUAAAAUCUACAUUGUUUUACAAUCGGAUACCGCACGCUCGGCCUGAACAAAACCAUUUUUUCUUAGGUUUGACCUCAGAUCAGACAAGGAUACCCGCUGAACUUAA